GCCUGUCUGGCUCAGUUGGUAGAGCAUGUGACUCUUGAUCUCAGGGUUGUAGGUUUGAGCCCAUGUAGGGUG
rnacentral:tRNA from 1 species